rnacentral:lncRNA from 1 species
UUUUUCACAAAACCACGAAAACAACUCGACAACCUAAACAAAAUUCGACAUUCUUGUGCAGUAGUGAUUCAAGGGUAGAAUCGACGGUUUAUUUAGUACUGGUAACGGCGAUUUACCGUUAAUGUUCUCAUUCAUUUGCUUUUUUGUACUUUUUUAUUGUGAUUCAUAGUCUUCGAAUAUACAAGGAAAAAGCUGUAACCAGAGAAAGACGCAACUUUGUGACGCUGAGGGCUUUAAAUGACUGGAAUGCUCUUCCAGAAAGAGUGGUUACUGCCCCCAACCCUUAGCGAAUUUAAGAAAGAAAUCGACCAGCUUUGGGCAACGUCUCAGUUCAAGCAUUGAAAUAGUUUGACUGAUGCAUCGUCAAAAUCAGCCACAAAGUUGAAAAACAUCCAAACGAAGGAAUAUCGUGGAGAGAAAGUAAAAGUGAAAGCGAGGAAGUCGCAGGCCCUUUGCAAGGGGCCUCUUUCCAUGGACAACUUCAACUUCAACUUCAACUUCAACUUGAUUAGGAUUACGAAUGAGUUUGCGGAUUGGCGUUUUUUAUCGCGAAUUUGUGAGCUUAAAAAGUGAUGUGGCCCAGCGCGGUUCGCUGCGGCUACUGCCGAAAGGCGAUAUCAAAAUUGCAACUGUCUAGACACCGGAGAAGGCCAAGAUUACUUUACCGAGAAGGCUGCAUCCGUGGCUGCCUACGACCCGGCCCGGCCGGCACCGCUAAAGCGAAGGACAACCGGCUGAUGGUAUCCUUCGCCAGUGGAGCUGCUGUUUCUGGAGCUGCUGCUUCUGCUGCCCCAGUUAUAGCGAGAGACGCCAGCCCCCUGGACCAGCCGCUGGCUGCUGUCGCCAGCAUGGAAGUGACCACGACACCGACAGGGGCCGGUUCGGUGCAGGCACACCAGCUUGCCCCGACACUGACGAGUGACGGUGGUUUUCCCGUCGCCCCUGAUGGCGGCGAGGGGCCAGCCAGACCCGUCGAUGCGGCGACCGCGGUACCAACUGACGCUGUCGAGCAAGAGCGCGCACAUUUCACUGGUACUGCAUCGCAGUGUCGCCACCAUGCACGGAGGACGUCAGAGGACGGCCCGUCAGUCUUCACGGCCAGUGCGCUGGGCCGGCACGGGUCACACGCUCGGUGAAGUAGCUGGCCUGCGCACGCAGCUCGACAUCAUCUGUGGUGUCAUCCCAGCCUUUCUUCAGAUCAUUCACUCGCCGCUUCAGCCACGCCACCGCCGGCCGCAGUCAUCCGGCCACGGAGGAUAAGUGAUAGGCCGACCACACCACAAGAACAGUGCUCUCCGUGUAAAUAUCACGACCGGAAGUGCGCGAGCUACUGACUGGGAGAUGGCGCUCGCGCUGACGCUGUUUCCUCGACGUUUAUGCAGCUCCUGGCGAGGUGACCGGUCUUGCUACAGGUCUAAUAACGCCGUGCCCGGUCCGCCGUGGACCCUGACCGACCCGCCGGUGUCUUGGCGUCUCGCCUCACACCCGCUGCUGCAGAGAACACGUUCGUCACUCAACACUGCCCGCGCCAGGAUGCUGGCCAGAUCCAGGCCUUCUGCGCGCGUGUCGGCCCGAAUUGUGCUGCUAACGGCGUCUGGUAGCCCGGCGAUGAAAGUACUGGCGAUGAAAGCACCUACCCGAAUGCAAGCCGAAUGCAGCAAAAGAUGCUCCUCCAAGUGUGGAAACCGAGCGUCGUGCGCGCUCGAAAUUUUAAUACAACCAAUUUUUGCAGGC